rnacentral:rRNA from 1 species
GACGAACGCUGGCGGCGUGCUUAACACAUGCAAGUCGAACGGAAAGGCCCUGCUUUUGUGGGGUGCUCGAGUGGCGAACGGGUGAGUAACACGUGAGUAACCUGCCCUUGACUUUGGGAUAACUUCAGGAAACUGGGGCUAAUACCGGAUAGGAGCUCCUGCUGCAUGGUGGGGGUUGGAAAGUUUCGGCGGUUGGGGAUGGACUCGCGGCUUAUCAGCUUGUUGGUGGGGUAGUGGCUUACCAAGGCUUUGACGGGUAGCCGGCCUGAGAGGGUGACCGGCCACAUGGGGACUGCGAUACGGCCCAGACUCCUACGGGAGGCAGCAGUGGGGAAUAUUGCACAAUGGGCGGAAGCCUGAUGAAGAAACGCCGCGUGCGGGAUGACGGCCUUCGGGUUGUAAACCGCUUUCGCCUGUGACGAAGCGUGAGUGACGGUAAUGGGUAAAGAAGCACCGGCUAACUACGUG